UACGUAGGGGGCAAGCGUUGUCCGGAAUUAUUGGGCGUAAAGAGCGCGUAGGCGGUCCGAUAAGUCGGCUGUGAAAGUCAGGGGCUCAACCCUUGGAAGCCGGCCGAUACUGUCGGACUAGAGUCCGGAAGAGGCGAGUGGAAUUCCCGGUGUAGCGGUGAAAUGCGUAGAUAUCUGGAGGAACACCGGUGGCGAAGGCGGCAUCCUGGACCAACACUGACGCUGAUGAGCGAAAGCCAGGGGAGCAAACGGG
rnacentral:rRNA from 1 species